GGGCAUAACAAGUUGAAGCACCAGCUCACAUACGAUCGCCGAAGUUAAGCAACGUCGUGUUUGGUCAUUACUUGUGUGGGUGAAUGCUUGGGAUUACCAGGUACUGUAAU